rnacentral:rRNA from 1 species
AGUGAACGCUGGCGGUAGGCCUAACACAUGCAAGUCGAACGGCAGCACAGUAAGAGCUUGCUCUUACGGGUGGCGAGUGGCGGACGGGUGAGGAAUACAUCGGAAUCUACUUUUUCGUGGGGGAUAACGUAGGGAAACUUACGCUAAUACCGCAUACGACCUACGGGUGAAAGCAGGGGAUCUUCGGACCUUGCGCGAUUGAAUGAGCCGAUGUCGGAUUAGCUAGUUGGCGGGGUAAAGGCCCACCAAGGCGACGAUCCGUAGCUGGUCUGAGAGGAUGAUCAGCCACACUGGAACUGAGACACGGUCCAGACUCCUACGGGAGGUAGCAGUGGGGAAUAGUGGACAAUGGGCGCAAGCCUGAUCCAGCCAUACCGCGUGGGUGAAGAAGGCCUUCGGGUUGUAAAGCCCUUUUGUUGGGAAAGAAAAGCAGCAGGUUAAUAUCCCGCUGUUCUGACGGUACCCAAAGAAUAAGCACCGGCUAACUUCGUG